CGAUAGCGUAUAUUAAAGUUGUUGCAGUUAAAAAGCUCGUAGUUGGAUUUCGGGGCAGCCUGGCUGGUCCGCCGCAAGGCGAGUACUGGUCAGCCGCCCUUCCUCUCGAAAGCCCCGACUGCUCUUUAUUGCAGUGGUCGGGUAGUUCGGGACGUUUACUUUGAAAAAAUUAGAGUGUUCAAGGCAGGCCUACGCCUGAAUACAUUAGCAUGGAAUAAUGGAAGAGGACCUCGGUCCUAUUUUGUUGGUUUCCAGGACCGAAGUAAUGAUUAAGAGGGACAGUUGGGGGCAUUCGUAUUUAAUUGUCAGAGGUGAAAUUCUCGGAUUUAUGAAAGACGAACAACUGCGAAAGCAUUUGCCAAGGAUGUUUUCACUAA
rnacentral:rRNA from 1 species